rnacentral:rRNA from 1 species
AUUUAAGUUGUUGCAGUUAAAAAGCUCGUAGUCGGAUUUUGGCUGAGAACGGUCGGUCCGCCGUUAGGUGUGCACUGACUGGUCUCAGCUUCCUGGUGAGGAGGUGUGCUUCAUCGCCACUUAGUCACCGUGGUUACUUUGAAAAAAUUAGAGUGUUCAAAGCGGGCUUACGCUUGAAUAUAUUAGCAUGGAAUAACACCAUAGGACUCCUGUCCUAUUUCGUUGGUCUCGGGACGGGAGUAAUGAUUAAGAGGAACAGUUGGGGGCAUUCGUAUUUCAUUGUCAGAGGUGAAAUUCUUGGAUUUAUGAAAGACGAACUUCUGCGAAAGCAUUUGCCAAGGAUGUUUUCAUUGAUCAAGAACGAAAGUUGGGGGCUCGAAGAUGAUUAGAUACCAUCCUAGUCUCAACCAUAAACGAUGCCGACUAGGGAUUGGCGGAUGUUAAUUGAUGACUUCGCCAGCACCUUAUGAGAAAUCAAAGUUUUUGGGUUCCGGGGGGAGUAUGGUCGUAAGGCUGAAACUUAAAGGAAUUGACGGAAGGGCACCA